GACGAACGCUGGCGGCGUGCUUAACACAUGCAAGUCGAACGGAAAGGCCCUGCUUUUGUGGGGUGCUCGAGUGGCGAACGGGUGAGUAACACGUGAGUAACCUGCCCUUGACUUUGGGAUAACUUCUGGAAACUGGGGCUAAUACCGGAUAGGAGCUCCUGCUGCAUGGUGGGGGUUGGAAAGUUUCGGCGGUUGGGGCUGGACUCGCGGCUUAUCAGCUUGUUGGUGGGGUAGUGGCUUACCAAGGCUUUGACGGGUAGCCGGCCUGAGCGGGUGACCGGGCACAGUGGGACUGAGGUACGGACCAGACUCCUACGGGAGGCAGCAGCGGGGAAUAUGGAACAACGGGCGGAAGCCUGAUGAAGCGACGCCGCGUGCGGGAUGACGGCCUACGGGUUGUAAACCGCUUUCGCAUGGGACGAAGCGUGAGUGACGGUAAUGGGUAAAGAAGCACCGGCUAACUACGUG
rnacentral:rRNA from 1 species